AGAGUUUGGAUCCUGGCUCAGAUUGAACGCUGGCGGUAUGCUUAACACAUGCAAGUCGAACGGUAACAGCAGAGCUUGCUCUGGCUGACGAGUGGCGGACGGGUGCGUAACGCGUGGGAAUCUACCUUGUAGUGGGGGAUAGCCCGGAGAAAUCCGGAUUAACACCGCAUAAUCUCUACGGAGGAAAAGGGGCCUCUUCUUGAAAGCUCCUGCUAUUAGAUGAGCCCGCGUUGGAUUAGCUUGUUGGUAGGGUAAUGGCCUACCAAGGCGACAAUCCAUAGCUGGUUUGAGAGGACGAUCAGCCACACUGGGACUGAGACACGGCCCAGACUCCUACGGGAGGCAGCAGUGGGGAAUAUUGGACAAUGGGCGAAAGCCUGAUCCAGCAAUACCGCGUGUGUGAAGAAGGCCUGAGGGUUGUAAAGCACUUUCAAUAGAGACGAAAAGCUUAAGGAUAAUACCCUUGAGUCUUGACUUAACCUAUAGAAGAAGCACCGGCUAACUAAGUGCCAGCAGCCGCGGUAAUACUUAGGGUGCAAGCGUUAAUCGGAAUUACUGGGCGUAAAGCGCUCGUAGGCGGCUUGUAAAGUCGGAUGUGAAAUCCCCGGGCUCAACCUGGGAACUGCAUUCGAUACUGGCAAGCUAGAGUAUAGUAGAGGCAAGUGGAAUUCCGGGUGUAGCGGUGAAAUGCGUAGAUAU
rnacentral:rRNA from 1 species